UGGCAGAGACGACUCUGCCAGCUUCAUAUUGCUCCAGGGGACGGCCCCG
rnacentral:ncRNA from 1 species